GAAUAUUGCACAAUGGAGGGAACUCUGAUGCAGCAACGCCGCGUGAGUGAAGAAGNUUNNCGGAUNGNAAAACUCUGUCAUUGNNNNNGAAUAAAUGACGGUACCCAAUGAGGAAGCCCCGGCUAACUACGUGCCAGCAGCCGCGGUAAUACGUAGGGGGCGAGCGUUGUCCGGAAUUACUGGGCGUAAAGGGUACGUAGGCGGCUAUAUAAGUCAGGUGUGAAAUACCAGUGCUUAACACUGGAAUUGCAUUUGAAACUGUGUAGCUUGAGUGCAGGAGAGGAAAGUGGAAUUCCUAGUGUAGCGGUGAAAUGCGUAGAGAUUAGGAGGAACACCAGUGGCGAAGGCGACUUUCUGGACUGUAACUGACGCUGAGGUACGAAAGCGUGGGUAGCGAACA
rnacentral:rRNA from 1 species